CCUACGGGCGGCUGCAGUGAGGAAUAUUGGUCAAUGGCCGGAAGGCUGAACCAGCCAUGCCGCGUGAAGGUCAGUGCCCUAUGGGCGUUAAACUUCUUUUGUGCGGGAGCAAUAAUGGUCACGUGUGACCAGACGAGAGUACCGUACGAAUAAGCAUCGGCUAACUCCGUGCCAGCAGCCGCGGUAAUACGUGGGAUGCAAGCGUUAUCCGGAUUUAUUGGGUUUAAAGGGUGCGUAGGCUGUGAGGUAAGUCAGCGUUGAAAUGCCCCCGCUCAACGGGGUGAAGUGCCAUUGAUACUGCCUGGCUGGAAUGCGGAUGCCGUGGGAGGAAUGUGUGGUGUAGCGGUGAAAUGCAUAGAUAUCACACAGAACACCGAUUGCGAAGGCAUCUCACGAAUCCGCGAUUGACGCUGAUGCACGAAAGCGUGGGUAUCAAACAGGAUUAGAUACCCCAGGAGUC
rnacentral:rRNA from 1 species